AAAUUUUAAUUCUAGAUAAAAUUGUAAAUUUUAUGAUAUGCAUGGAUUUUAAGCCAGUAUAAAGAUUUUUUAAAUUGAAAAAAUAAAAGCAUAAAAUAUGAAGGGAUAAAUUUAGUGCCAGCAAUCGCGGUCAUACUAAACCUUAAACAAUAAAACGGAUAUUUAGUUAUUUAAAUCUAGGAAAAAAAAAAUUAAGAAACUAAGUUAAAUUUUAUCUUAAUUAAUUUCUCAAAAUUUAAGAACCUAAAAAAUUUGAUAAAAAAAGAGGAUUUGAUACCCUAUUAUUACAAAAAAAAAAUUUUUCCAGAGUUAUAAUAGAAAACUAAAAACUCAAAGAAUAUGGCAGUAUAAGUGAAAUUUAGGGGAACUUGAUUCUUUAAAUUUUGAUAAUUCACAAAUAACCUUACUUUUUUUCUAAAAAAUAUUUAUAUCUCCGUUUUAAGAAGCUAAACAAAAUUAAUGUUCAUAAUUUUAACAAAAAGCAAUUCAGGUCAAGACAAAAUUUUAAAAGAAGAAUUGAGUCCCAUUCUAAAAAAAGGAAUAAAAAUAAAAUUAAAAUGAAUUUAAAAGAGAACUUAAAAGUAAAUAUCUUAAAAAAAAGAAAUUGAAUUACAACACUUAU
rnacentral:rRNA from 1 species